rnacentral:rRNA from 1 species
CCAACGAGUGGCGGACGGGUGAGUAACACGUAGGUAACCUGCCCAGAAGCGGGGGACAACAUUUGGAAACAGAUGCUAAUACCGCAUAACAACGUUGUUCGCAUGAACAACGCUUAAAAGAUGGCUUCUCGCUAUCACUUCUGGAUGGACCUGCGGUGCAUUAGCUUGUUGGUGGGGUAAUGGCCUACCAAGGCGAUGAUGCAUAGCCGAGUUGAGAGACUGAUCGGCCACAAUGGGACUGAGACACGGCCCAUACUCC